UUUUGGACAAUGGGCGCAAGCCUGAUCCAGCAAUGCCGCGUGAGUGAAGAAGGCCUUCGGGUUGUAAAGCUCUUUUGUCAGGGAAGAAACGGGAGUGGCUAAUAUCCAUUCCUAAUGACGGUACCUGAAGAAUAAGCACCGGCUAACUACGUGCCAGCAGCCGCGGUAAUACGUAGGGUGCAAGCGUUAAUCGGAAUUACUGGGCAUAAAGCGUGCGCAGGCGGUUUUGUAAGUCUGAUGUGAAAUCCCCGGGCUCAACCUGGGAAUUGCAUUGGAGACUGCAAGGCUAGAAUCUGGCAGAGGGGGGUAGAAUUCCACGUGUAGCAGUGAAAUGCGUAGAGAUGUGGAGGAACACCGAUGGCGAAGGCAGCCCCCUGGGUCAAGAUUGACGCUCAUGCACGAAAGCGUGGGGAGCAAACAGG
rnacentral:rRNA from 1 species